GAUGAACGCUAGCGGCAGGCCUAACACAUGCAAGUCGAGGGAGAAGCCCUUCGGGGCAGAAACCGGCGCACGGGUGCGUAACGCGUAUGCAACCUACCUUUCACAGGGGGAUAGCCCGAAGAAAUUUGGAUUAAUACCCCAUAAUAUUAUUGGAUGGCAUCAUUUGAUAAUUAAAAUUACGAUGGUGAAAGAUGGGCAUGCGUCCUAUUAGCUAGUUGGAGUGGUAACGGCACCCCAAGGCUACGAUAGGUAGGGGUCCUGAGAGGGAGAUCCCCCACACUGGUACUGAGACAGGGACCAGACUCCUACGGGAGGCAGCAGUGAGGAAUAUUGGUCAAUGGUCGGAAGACUGAACCAGCCAUGCCGCGUGCAGGAAGAAUGCCUUAUGGGUUGUAAACUGCUUUUAUAUGGGAAGAAUAAGGCGUACG
rnacentral:rRNA from 1 species